AGUCACUGACAUUAGAUACCCGUGUAGUCCCAGCCGUAAACUAUGCUCGCUAGGUGUCAGGCAUGGCGCGACCGUGUCUGGUGCCGCAGGGAAGCCGUGAAGCGAGCCACCUGGGAAGUACGGCCGCGAGGCUGAAACUUAAAGGAAUUGGCGGGGGAGCACAACAACGGGUGGAGCCUGCGGUUUAAUUGGACUCAACGCCGGACAACUCACCGGGGACGACAGCAAUAUGUAGGCCAGGCUGAAGACCUUGCCUGAAUCGCUG
rnacentral:rRNA from 1 species